rnacentral:rRNA from 1 species
UACGGGGGGGGCAAGCGUUGUUCGGAAUUACUGGGCGUAAAGGGCUCGUAGGCGGCCAACUAAGUCGGAUGUGAAAUCCCCAGGCUCAACUUGGGAACUGCAUCCGAUACUGGAUGGCUUGAAUUCGGGAGAGGGAUGCAGAAUUCCAGGUGUAGCGGUGAAAUGCGUAGAUAUCUGGAGGAACACCCGUGGCGAAAAGCGGCGCGCUGGACCACUACUGACGCUGAGGAACGAAAGCUAGGGGAGCAAACAGG